CAGCCUGCCCAGUGACUUAGUUUAACGGCCGCGGUACCCUAACCGCGCGAAGGUAGCAUAAUCAUUUGUUCUUUAAAUGAGGACUUGUAUCAACGGCACCACGAGGGUUUUACUGUCUCCUUUCCCUAAUCAGUGAAACUAAUCUCCCCGUGAAGAAGCGGGGAUAAACCUAUAAGACGAGAAGACCCCAUGGAGCUUUAGACGAAGCUACAAUCCAAUUUUAUACACCUAUUUAUUAAGCAGGAUUUAUGUAAGCUCAGUUUUAGGUUGGGGUGACCGCGGAGUAUAAAUUAACCUCCACGAUAGACGAAACUUUUCUUAUCUAAGAGUUACAUCUCUAAGAAUUAGUAUACUAAUAUUUAAUGAUCCGAUAAUCGAUCAACGGACCAAGUUACCCUGGGGAUAACAGCGCAAUCCAUUUUAAGAGCCCUUAUCGACAAAUGGGUUUACGACCUCGAUGUUGGAUCAGGAUAUCCUAGUGGUGCAGCAGCUACUGAAGGUUCGUUUGUUCAACGAUUAAAAUCCU
rnacentral:rRNA from 1 species